rnacentral:rRNA from 1 species
UACAGGGGGGGCAAGCGUUGUUCGGAAUUACUGGGCGUAAAGGGCUCGUAGGCGGCCAACUAAGUCACACGUGAAAUCCCCAGGCUUAACCUGGGAACUGCGUGUGAUACUGGAUGGCUUGAAUCCGGGAGAGGGAUGCAGAAUUCCAGGUGUAGCGGUGAAAUGCGUAGAUAUCUGGAGGAAUACCGGUGGCGAAGGCGGCAUACUGGACCGGCAUUGACGCUGAUGAGCGAAAGCGAGGGGAGCAAACGGG